CCCUUAGACGUUCUGGGCCGCACGCGCGCUACACUGACGAAGGCAACGAGCUUUCCUUUACCGAAAGGUACGGGUAAUCUUUUGAAACUUCGUCGUGCUGGGGAUAGAUCCUUGCAAUUUUUGAUCUUAAACGAGGAAUGCCUAGUAAGCGCAAGUCAUCAACUUGUGUUGAUUACGUCCCUGCCCUUUGUACACACCGCCCGUCGCUACUACCGAUUGAAUGGUUUAGUGAGGCCUUCGGAUCCGCGACUCGUUUGUGGAGAAGUUGGACAAACUCAGUCAUUUAGAGGAAGUAAAAGUCGUAACA
rnacentral:rRNA from 1 species